rnacentral:rRNA from 1 species
GCAGCGACGCCUGAUGCAGCGACGCCGCGUGAGGGAUGGAGGCCUUCGGGUUGUAAACCUCUUUUAUCGGGGAGCAAGCGUGAGUGAGUUUACCCGUUGAAUAAGCACCGGCUAACUACGUGCCAGCAGCCGCGGUAAUACGUAGGGUGCAAGCGUUAUCCGGAAUUAUUGGGCGUAAAGGGCUCGUAGGCGGUUCGUCGCGUCCGGUGUGAAAGUCCAUCGCUUAACGGUGGAUCCGCGCCGGGUACGGGCGGGCUUGAGUGCGGUAGGGGAGACUGGAAUUCCCGGUGUAACGGUGGAAUGUGUAGAUAUCGGGAAGAACACC